CUUCCGCCGAGCGGGCAUUUUGCGCCACAUGGACGUCUGUCAGCACCAGUCAGCACGAUUCUCGGACUGCCACUUCCCAAAAGGACCCAACCCCUGUGUCACACAACAACCAAGAUGGCUGGCUAGCUAGCUAGCAAGGAGCUAAUCUCUCAGAGACCAGUAAAGAGGUUUUUUUUGCUUUCAGAGGUGAAAACCUUUAUGUCAUGCCAGAGGUUGGAGCAAGUGAAGAAGGAGGCACCAGAGCUGAAGCCCAUCAAACCAAAGUCACCAUGGCAUAUGAUUGGUGUUGACCUUAUUGGACCAUUCAAAGCCUCAAAGAAUGGGAACCGCUUUUGUCUGACAGCAACUGAAGAACUAGCCUCAUUACAAAGAUGUCCUAUUCUUAGAUCACAAAAUAUCUGCCACUUUGUUAAAUAAAUAUAUUUCCCCAUA